rnacentral:lncRNA from 1 species
CUUUAAUCAUAUCCAAUCCAACAUAUCGAAUAUGACCUUGUUGUUCUCCCAUAUACUAUACUAGAGAAGGAAAAAAUAGCACAAAAAAUCUUGAUUUUGGACAAAUGAUUUCUUCUAUUUGCAUUUAAGAAAUACUUGAUCCUCCUUUUGCAUUUUAGAGAGGACUACUUUUCCAAAUAUGUUCCUAGCCACUACAGAUUCUCUCAUGUAAAGUGAGAAACUACAACCACCAAGGCUUUACCAGGCUCAGUUCACCAACUAAUCAACACCACAAUGAGCAACAACCCAAAACUUCCAAAAUGGUUCCUCCACUUACGGUUGCUAUUGAUUAGCCACAAAGGAGACAAUAAAAGAAGCCAAUAUCACACAAGAAUCAAACCACAAAGGCAAUAGAGGUGAGCAAACGGAAAGUGAACAGAGGAGUAAAGAAGAAAAAGGCAGCAGUAAGUUC